CCUCCCCGCCGCCGACCCACCUCUCCUCCUCCCUGCCAUCCCCAUCCCCGGCUCCUCCUCCUUCCUCCUCCCCGCCGCCGACGCAGCAACCGAGCUCGGCGCCGGCCCUCCUCCCUGCCAUCCCCAUCCCCGGCUCCUCCUCCUUCCUCCUCCCCGCCGCCGACGCAGCAACCGAGCUCGGCGCCGGCGCCAUGCGGGCCGUCCUCCUCUUUUUCCCCUCCUCCUUCCCAACACGCAGCGCGCCCCCGUACGCACGGCGCGGCACGGUCCUCCACCACCGCUAAACCCUUCCGAAAGAAUCCCCAAAUCUCGCACGCCCCGAAGCCUUCGACGCCCGAAACCCUAGCACCUCGGCCGCCCCGCCGCCGCGCUCCCAUGGCUCCAGGACUCCAGCGCUUCUCCUACAUUGCCGGCGACGGAGCGCCCCGCCUCGACGCCGCCUCCGGCGAGGAGCUGGUCCGGCUGGACCGCGCCGCGUCCGUCGCCCUCGGCCGCCGCUCGCCGGAGCUGCCGGGGACCUUGUUCGUCACCACAAGGAAGUGAAGCUCGGCUUGCACGAGUACAUCUCCAGCACUUUUUCCGACGGUUGAUGUUUCGCUAACCGUUGGCUUGCUCACCUCAACUAGGAGGUUGAUUUGGCUCAGCGAGGCGGAGAAGGGCAAGGGCUACGCCGUGGACUUCCUCGCCAUCUCGCUCCACGCUGCGUCGCGCGACCUGGAGGCGUAUCCCUCGCCCUGCCUCUACACGCAGAUUGAGGCAGAAGUUGCCACAGACGAGGAGGCUGUCGAAUCAAAUCCUGAAGCAAAUGAUGAAUUAGACCUAUCAAGAGUCUCUGAACUGCGCAUUAUACUGGGGGACCCUGGUCAACGUAUCCUUUUAAAUUACGGGCGACCUUGGCUUCUCCCCAUCCUUCCGCUGGGACGACACUCCUCACUGCAGCAUGGUUAGCCUUCUGCAGAAGGAAUCUUAAUGAUGCAAGGGGUAUUUCUUUUUAGGGGUCUAGAGUGCCUUUACAUGCAUACAAGCGGCUUUGGGAUGCUCUAAUAGAUUUGCAAGAGCAACUAUUGACUGCCUAGUUGCAAUUACACAUAUUUGAUAAGAUGUCAGGGCCAAGCCAAUUCAACUCCUUUACUUCUAAGUUCUAUCCUUCCCUGGUAAGAGGUUCUUGCUGUUCAUGUGUUGCCUGUGUUAAGCAAGGUUCAAAUUUAAUGCUAUUUGAGAUGACAUGACAUGGACCUUGACUGCUGAGAAAUUUUCUUUUGAGAAAUGCAUCUACAUGUUGCCGAUUGCUGUUCUACCACAAGCUCUAAUUGGCGAAAGCAAAUUUCAUAUACGAAAGAGAAGCCACAGCUCAGACUUACACAGUUCACAGCAGAUUUUUCUUUCAUAUGGACUAUUGGAAUAUAACUAACCAAAUGGAAUAUGGUGAAGUUGGUGCACUUUAUCCUUCUCAUCACAGAUGAAUCAAAGCAACGAAAAAAGACUAUCAUUCUACUGUGUUUGAAAGACUUGACGGUGCCCUGCCCCUCCUGCACCUACAACGCUGCAUCUGUACCUGGCAGCCUCCAAUUUUGACUGCCCUACCUUCUUUUCCCAUCAAGUUGGUGUGAACACAAGCCACCGAAGCAAGAAACUAUAACUCUGCAGCUGUACCUGGCAGCCUCCAAUUUUGACUGCCUUACCUUCUUUUCCCAUCAAGUUGGUGUGAACACAAGCCACCGAAGCAAGAAACUAUCAACCUCCACCGCCAGUGCUACAUGCCACUCCAGGUCAACCAUGGAGGCGAUUUUCUUAAUACGACAAUUGAUGGAGACAUAUAGGGAGCAGAAGAAGGACUUGCACAUGGUCUUCAUUGACCUUGAGAAGGCAUAUGACAAAGUACCGAGAAAUGUUAUGUGGUGGGCCUUGGAGAAGCACAAAGUCCCAACUAAGUACAUUACCCUCAUUAAGGACAUGUACAAGGAUGCGACGACGUUUGUCCGGACAUGUGAUGGUCUUUGGGUAACAAUUUCAUCUGGUACAUUAUUUUGGAUCAUGCUGUUUAGCAUCCUCAUGCCAGGCAUAAAGGGCACAGUGCAGCUAAGAUUCCAAACUUCGUUCCUUGUCUACAUAUUGACCCCAUUGGCCAUUCAGUUUGCUAAGGGCGUCGAAUUAGGGUGGUGCAGAUUUAAGCCUACAGUGCUGGUUUUCUUGGGUCAGCAAGUGCUUCCAGAAACAAUAACAGGCACCAACUGAAUCUCCCCAGACGAAGGAAGCAGUUACUAUAAUAGCUCACUCCUAGAUCAGAUGAAGCUGAUUAGGUUAACCCAGAUUUAGGUGUUGAUGAUGUCAUUCUCUGAAGCGACGUUUGGUAGCAGUUGGAAGCAGUUAGCUUUAGAGAAUAUUAGGCCUUUAAGCAUGUACAGCAAGUGUGCUACUGUACCCCUUGCAACUCCGUAGUUUAUGUACUAUCUAUCCAAAUAUGAAUCUUUCUGAACUAUGGUGUGUAAUGUUUUUACCCGCCUUUAUUACUUUAGAUGGCUUCAAUUUUCUACUA